rnacentral:lncRNA from 1 species
CACUUUUCCACUUUUUUUGUUGUCGUGUUUGGAAAAAAAUAAUUUGAUAAUUGGUAUAUCAUGACAAGUAACAGUCCAAAGUUCGAAUUUUGUGUAGUCAUGGUCCCCCGACUUCGAAAAAAUUCUCUUAAAUAAUCAGUUUUUUCACACUUUUUUGUCAUGCCUGAAGAUAUAGAUUUGAUAUAUAGUUUACACUAUGACAAGUUAUAGACCAAAUUGGCAGUUAGCUGUCCUUGACCGCAUUUUUAUGGUUCAUUGGUCGAUGUAAAGAUUUCUUUGUUUAGUCCAUUUCUCAUAUACUGAAGAAUUUAAAAACAAUAAUCGUAUGAUCGUUCAUUAUUGUCUGGCAUUGAUUAUCUGACCUGAC